UACGGAGGGUGCAAGCAUUAAUCGGAUUUAUUGGGCGUAAAGGGCGCGUAGGCGGGAAGAUAAGUCAGAUGUGAAAUCCCGGGGCUCAACCCCGGAACAGCAUUUGAAACUGUCUUUCUCAGAGGGUAGGCGGAGAAAAUGGAAUUCCACAAGUAGCGUUGAAAUGCGUAGAUAUGUGGAAGAACACCAGUGGCGAAGGCGGUUUUCUAGCUUAUACCUGACGCUAAAGCGCGAAAGCAAGGGGAUCAAACAGG
rnacentral:rRNA from 1 species